rnacentral:rRNA from 1 species
UACGUAGGGGGCUAGCGUUGUCCGGAAUCAUUGGGCGUAAAGCGCGCGUAGGCGGCCAGAUAAGUCCGGUGUGAAAGUCACAGGCUCAACCUGUGAAUGCCGCUGGAAACUGUCUGGCUAGAGUCCGGAAGGGGCGAGUGGAAUUCCUGGUGUAGCGGUGAAAUGCGCAGAUAUCAGGAGGAACACCAAUGGCGAAAAGCAGCUUUCUGGGGACGGUACUGACGCUGAGACGCGAAAGCGUGGGGGAGCGAACAGG